CACUCCUACGGGAGGCAGCAGUGGGGAAUAUUGGACAAUGGGCGCAAGCCUGAUCCAGCCAUGCCGCGUGAGUGAUGAAGGCCCUAGGGUUGUAAAGCUCUUUCACCGGUGAAGAUAAUGACGGUAACCGGAGAAGAAGCCCCGGCUAACUUCGUGCCAGCAGCCGCGGUAAUACGAAGGGGGCUAGCGUUGUUCGGAUUUACUGGGCGUAAAGCGCACGUAGGCGGACUAUUAAGUCAGGGGUGAAAUCCCGGGGCUCAACCCCGGAACCGCCUUUGAUACUGGUAGUCUUGAGUUCGAGAGAGGUGAGUGGAAUUCCGAGUGUAGAGGUGAAAUUCGUAGAUAUUCGGAGGAACACCAGUGGCGAAGGCGGCUCACUGGCUCGAUACUGACGCUGAGGUGCGAAAGCGUGGGGAGCAAACAGGAUUAGAUACCCCGGUAGUCC
rnacentral:rRNA from 1 species